CCUAUGGGUGACAGCAGUGGGGAAUAUUGCACAAUGGGGGAAACCCUGAUGCAGCGACGCCGCGUGAGUGAGGAAGUAUUUCGGUAUGUAAAGCUCUAUCAGCAGGGGAGAAAAUGACGGUAACUGCAAAGGAAGCACCGGCUAACUCCGUGCCAGCAGCCGCGGUAAUACGGAGGGUGCGAGCGUUAAUCGGAAUUACUGGGCGUAAAGCGCUCGUAGGCGGGAUGUCAGGUCAAGGGUGAAAUCCCCGGGCUCAACGUGGGAACUGCCUUUGAAACUGGCAAACUGGAGUGUGUGAGAGGAUAGUGGAAUUCCAGGUGUAGGAGUGAAAUCCGUAGAUAUCGGGAGGAACAUCAGUGGCGAAGGCGAAUAGCUGGCACAUAACUGACGCUGAGGAGCGAAAGCGUGGGUAGCAAACAGGAUUAGAUACCCCGGUAGUC
rnacentral:rRNA from 1 species